CAGUCGCCGCGGUAAUACGUAGGUGGCGAGCGUUGUCCGGAAUCACUGGGCGUAAAGGGAGCGCAGGCGGGCAUGUAAGUCUUUCUUAAAAGUUCGGGGCUCAACCCCGUGAUGGGAAAGAAACUACAUGUCUUGAGUACAGGAGAGGAAAGCGGAAUUCCCAGUGUAGCGGUGAAAUGCGUAGAUAUUGGGAGGAACACCAGUGGCGAAGGCGGCUUUCUGGACUGCAACUGACGCUGAGGCUUGAAAGCCAGGGGAGCGAACGGAAUUAGAUACCCCUGUAGUCCCUGUCUCUUAUACA
rnacentral:rRNA from 1 species